rnacentral:lncRNA from 1 species
AUGCAGCAGAGAGUCAACAACUAGUUGAGCGAGUUCACAGAAAGUAAUUUCGUAAUAGUAAGUUCAUGAGUAUCAGGUGGCUCUACUGGGCCGUUAGUACGUUCUAUUGACUAGACUAUUCAUAACCAUAAGUGUUCUUCACAAUCCGAGAACAGUAGUAGGUAUAAGUUCACGCAGGUUUUACGUGAGUAUCCUUCACAUCCGAGGAUAGUAAUGAGUAUAAGUAUCCUUCACAACCGAGGAUAGUGAUCAGUAUAAGUAUCCUUCACAACCGAGGAUAGUGAUCAGUCUGAGUAUCCUUCACAACCGAGGAUAGUAAUAUGUAUAAGUAUCCUUCACAACCGAGGAUGGUAAUAUGUAUAAGUGUUAGGGCUGGAUUUUUAUUAUAGGUGAUCCUUAUACGUGAUCCUAACCAGUGAUCCUUGUUUCUUUGGCAG